rnacentral:rRNA from 1 species
ACGACUGCACAACGCGAAGAACCUUACCAGGUCUUGACAUCCGUUUGACAAUCCUAGAGAUAGGAACUUUCCCUUCCGGGGACUAAAGUGACAGGUGGUGCAUGGUUGUCGUCAGCUCGUGUCGUGAGAUGUUCGGGUUAAGUCCCGCAACGAGCGCAACCCCUAUUGUUAGUUGCCAGCAUUCAGUUGGGCACUCUAAUGAGACUGCCGGUGACAAACCGGAGGAAGGUCGGGGAUGACGUCAAAUCAUCAUGACCCCUUAUGACCUGGGCUACACACGUGCUACAAUGGAUGGUACAACGAGCAGCAAGACCGCGAGGUCAAGCGAAUCUCUUAAAGCCAUUCUCAGUUCGGAUUGCAGGCUGCAACUCGCCUGCAUGAAGCCGGAAUCGCUAGUAAUCGCGGAUCAGCACGCCGCGGUGAAUACGUUCCCGGGUCUUGUACACACCG